GCCGUCGUGGGCCAUGGCGGCCGCCUCCCAAGAUUAUUUUGUGAAUUUUGUAGCGUCCCUUGCAAGGAGGGAGGUGGAGGUUCGAAUCCUCCCGAUGGCA